GGCCAGACUAGAGCCCUCUCUAAGCCUCUGGAACAACCAGAUGCCACCUGGCCUGGCCUCCACCAGACCUCUUCCUUUCCUGCCCUUUGUGUCAAGGUUGGGCCAAGGGCUCCAGCGUUGGUGUCUGACUUUUCUUCCCUCUGAGGUCACCCCAUCCCUGCUCUAUACAACUGCUUUAGCGCCUCCAUUUGCUUAACCCCUUACCCUAGUGCUUCUGGCCUCCCAUAAUGAAGCUAAUGGACAAAAGAGAACAUGAUUAUCUUUCCUGAAGCUGGAGAGCCGCCCCCAGCUUCCACUUUGCCAACUGACCUGACCUAUUGCUGCUACUGCUGCUGCUGGGAAUCCUGGUGCAUGCUGGGAAACCAAGUGCAUGCCGGGAUUUCAGUCAGUUCCUCCAUGCAUUUUUGGGGUUGCUUGGAACUGUGAGUCUCUAAUCCGUGGCGCGUGCUUCUUGAAAUGAAGCUAAGAACUUCGUGAGAAGAGAAGAGAGGCCAGCGACAUGGAGAAGAAGGGCAGCACCGGUUGAGGAAGGUACCUAAGACUCGGGGAUGCUCAAGACACAAAUUGCAUGGACUUGGCCAAGAAGACCCAGAGGAAAGUGUAUUGCUCUCUAGCAUAGAACUGAUAUAAAUGUCUAGAUUGCUGUUAUGGUCAGCAAGAUCUAAGUCCUAGGAUGAAUUAAAGUCCUAUUCUGAAGCCAACGCUCUGACUGAUCCUAAGAAGGCCACCCAUGAGCAUACCAUUGGAUCCUGGAUCUCAAGUAAACAUAAUUGCAUGCACCAAGAAUUAGCCCCCUCCUGGUUGGAGAUGCCACUCAGUUGACAGAGUGCUUGUCUAGAGUAUGCAAAGCCCUGGGUUUGAUUUCCAGCACCACGUAAACCGGGCGUGAUAAUACACACCUGUAAUUUCAGAACUCAGGAAGUAGAGGCAGGAGAAUCAGAAGUUCAAGACCGGCUAUGCAGCAAGUUCAAGGGCAGACAGCUCUGGAGUUAUAAACAUGAAGACAACAGAAGCCCUACUCCUCACCCCCAGGGCUCCUGGCUUCCCAGAAAGACAGAAAAGCCUGAGAGAUUCAGUUCUCACUGUGGCUAUGAAUAAACUAAGGCAAAAGCUACUGACUUACUAAUUUGAGUCUUGCAAAGAAAUUCAUCCAAAAAAAAAAAAAAAAAAGAAUGCCUUGGAAGCUGAAGAGCAGAAAGGAGGAGGAGCCCACCUCAGACAAAGAGGUCUGGGCACCCAACUGAAUCCCAGAGUCUGCAUUCACUAACUGAGUGAGGAUCUAGCUAGGCUUAGCAGCACUUAGCCAGCUUCGUCAGAUGGGUUUCAUGCCCAUCUAGGAAUUAGAACUUAUGAAGAUAACCUGAGGCGUAAAGCUGGAAGGAGAUCAUAAGGGAAAAUGUUGGGCAAGAUUUUGUUCUCCAUCCCCCCCCCAAAAAAACCCCAAUAAACUCAGGCUUCUUUUUAC
rnacentral:lncRNA from 1 species